rnacentral:rRNA from 1 species
CGCGUAGGCGGUUCUGUCGGUCAGAUGUGAAAUCCCGGGGCUCAACCCUGGAAGUGCAUUUGAAACAGCAGAACUUGAGUACGGGAGAGGAAAGCGGAAUUCCUGGUGUAGAGGUGAAAUUCGUAGAUAUCAGGAGGAACACCGAUGGCGAAGGCAGCUUUCUGGACCGAUACUAACGCUGAGGCGCGAAGGCGUGGGUAGCGAACG